AAGAGAGGAAAGUACCCUUUAGGACUAUUGAUUGCCGCCUCAGCAAAGAGAACCACAGUGACACAGGGAUAAGAAGAGAAGCAGUGUAAUUUUGUGCUGUUGGCUGUUCCACGCGAUGAAACUAUAAUUCACAAAGUGAUAGAUAACAGAAGGGAUGCAUUGGCCUCUCAUACUUCAGUUUAAUGUUCCAGUGAUGGUUAUAUAAUCUGCCAGUAUACCUCCAAAGUAGCAAAACAAGGUUAUUCACAGAUCAGUAGGUUUUCCAGCUAAUACAGGUC